GGAACGCGCCCUUUAUUAUGCCAAUUCAAACAUCCGGGCACUUAAUCCAUUCAAGGCUGAUAGAAGAUGGCUUCGACAGUGAGAAUUACGUCAACUGCAAAUACACUAAAUUCUAUAGAAAAUCAAACCAGCGACGAGGAUGGCCAGAAUUUAUGGUCCUCUAUUUUGAGUGAGGUCUCGACGCGUUCACGGUCAAAAUUGCCGUCUGGGAAAAAUGUUCUUAUUAUGGACAGUUGGGGGUUGGAGGCACGUCUCUGGAGCUGCUGAGCCGGAGGAGUGUGUAUGAAAGGUGCUGCUUGGUCAUUCUGACGUCUGCGUUGGCCUUGCAGCAUUUAUGGUGACACAGCCUCUGCAGAAGUCAGGGCAUUCAUACUUCUUGAGCUUCGCCGAGCAGCACAGACCUGUUGUGAAAGAAGUUGUCAAGGA